rnacentral:rRNA from 1 species
AUACGUAGGGGGCGAGCGUUGUCCGGAAUGAUUGGGCGUAAAGGGCGCGUAGGCGGCCCGGUAAGUCUGGAGUGAAAGUCCUGUUUUUAAGAUGGGAAUUGCUUUGGAUACUGUCGGGCUUGAGUGCAGGAGAGGUAAGUGGAAUUCCCAGUGUAGCGGUGAAAUGCGUAGAGAUUGGGAGGAACACCAGUGGCGAAGGCGACUUACUGGACUGUAACUGACGCUGAGGCGCGAAAGUGUGGGGAGCAAACAGGAUUAGAUACCCUGGUAGUCCACACUGUAAACGAUGAAUGCUAGGUGCAGGGGGUAUCGACCCCUUCUGUGCCGCAGUCAACACAAUAAGCAUUCCGCCUGGGGAGUACGGCCGCAAGGUUGAAACUCAAAUGAAUUGGCGGGG